CGGGGUGUAGCUCAGUUGGCUAGAGCGCCUGCUUUGGGAGCAGGAGGCCGCUGGUUCAAGUCCCUCCACCCCGACCA
rnacentral:tRNA from 1 species